rnacentral:lncRNA from 1 species
CUCUUCUCCUCCCAGCUUCUCUAUCAAGGAAUGAUGUACUCAGACUGUGAAUAAAUGCGAGUGACCCCCAUCUGCCCACCCCCACUUCCCAGAGCCUUCUGCUGGAGAAGGGGGUGGGGGAGGGAGGACAGAGAGAGAGGGAGAGAGAGAGCGAGAGAGGGAGAGAGAGAGAGAGAGAGAGAGAGACAGAGGGAGAGAGGCAGAGGGAGAAAGGUACAAGAGAGAGAAGGGAAGAGAGAGAGGGAGAUAGAGCGAAAAAGGAGGGUCCCCGACUUCCUCACAGGUAAUUAAAAGGACUGUUUUCAAGGUUGCAUGGGCAAAGACAAUUCGGCCCUAAUGAAGCAUCGAUCGACUGCAGUAAUGUAGAAAGGAGCUGACAUUCAUUCAAAGAAGAUGGAGAACAAUGGUCACUGUCAUCCCCAGAAGAGCUCCUCAUCUCCCUUAGUUGGGACAUCCUGCCAGUGCUUUCUCUACCAGGAUAACACCAGCCCUCUUCAACUGCAUUUUUCUCUACACACAACAUUCUCGUUUGCCAAGGUCAUUCCAUGGAACCAAUGUCCAGCGUCUUCUCUUUCCUUAGAUCCCACAGUCCAUACUCAACCUCCAUGUGAAGACAGAGAAUAUCCUUUUGAGUUGGAAGGGAUGUUGACUGACUUCAUCCAUUUAUUUUGUUCUCAUUCCGAGUCUGGAUUUGCCUGCGUCCCUUGUAGCUUAAGAGCCCUUUUAAUUAAGACAUGACUCACAGAUCAUCUUCAUGUCAACAGGCAACAAUAUUGUAUACCUUCGAAUUUUUCAAUAACGAGCCUUGAACAGAACAAACUCUUUGUUUCAGUGAAAAAUGCUAAUUGAAAGAUUUUUUUUUCUCAAAAGGACAUUGAACGUAAACCAAUGUACUAAGCAAAAUGUAGAUGAUGCCUCUCCUUUUAUCUGCUGUUCCUUCAAACAGAAAACAAAGUACCACCCCAACCAACCAACUCUUCUGGCAGGAAAAAGAAAGAGUCCUCAAAUUACGUUCUUCAACAAAGGGUCAGGAAGGAAAAGUGAAUGUCACAAACACCAUUCAAAGCACCGCAGAAAGUAGUCAGUUUGGUUUCUUUCAGAGGCUGGAAGAAAACGUCCUUCUCCCCCGUCUCCCUUUGUUUUUAAGUUACUAAAUUCCUUUACGUUUGUUUUCUUAGGAAAGUGACAUUAUAGGUCAUUAAGCAACUAUUAAAAACACAAGUGAGAAAACCCAAAGCGUGGGUCUUUUUCCUCUGAUAUUCUUUUCCCUGGUUUUCAGAAAACAGUUUUAAGAGUUGGAAUAUUUUUGUUAAUGUCUUUGUGGGCAUUUCCGUCAUCUUUCCAUUUGUAACAGCCCCUAAAUAAGGCAGCUAGGGGAAACCUGCCUUGUCUUAGCACACCUGCUAUGCCAAAACAGGAACAUGCAUUCCCCCACAAUGGGAUGGGUGAUUUGCCAAACAGACCAGAGCUCCCAAAUUACCUGCCUUUUUGCAGUGCUACACCCAAAAAUCAACCCGUUGACUGAUGAAAUCAACCCGUGUGGAACUUGAUUUUCGACGUCCUCUCUUCCUCCCACAGUUGGACAAGAAAGGGGAAGGAAAGAGAAAAGGGAGAAAAGCCCUCUUCCCACCGGGUAAGUCCAGGUGAGUCCCAUUCACCACCGUCAUUGCCAUUGUGCGAGGCUGCAGCAUGGAGCUGGCCCCCCUCUAGCCACAGGAUCGAGCUGGCUUCAGAGCUUCCGGGGUCUCAUCCUCUUGCAAAUUUCUUUGGUGGUGAAAUCUAUCAAAGGAAUCUCAAAACAGAUUACAUGGUAAAUUAUCGUCUCCAUUCUGGGCCACUCUCCAUGCCCCGCUGUCCGGCUCCGACAGACAGCCGUGGGUGAGCUGCCGGUGGAAAGCCUCCGAGAUAAGAAGAUUACAGAAUGUCAUGUGCCUCCGGCGACUCAACUUCACAGCUAAACUUCUCCAGCCCAGGCAGUUCAUCUGAUUCGCAUGGGUCACAGGCUGUUUCAAUUAAUGCCUCUCUAAUGAUUCAAGUGUGUGCCCUAAUGUGGAAGGGGAAUAGAGAGAAGUCAAGCCAGGGACCUUAGCAUGUCUGUCCUCUCCACCCUCUAUCUCAGAAUGCUCUUUCCCAAGCUGACUUAUAAGAAAGGAGAAAAUGGGAUGGGAAGGAAUAUAGAAUUCCUUUCAGACAGAAACCUUUUAUGUCACCUUCCUGUCGUUACCAAUGCAAUUCUGUGAGUCUUCCGUGGGCUGUGGAUCCUAGAGUAGUGAAUAACAGCCCUGAUACGAAAACAGAAUGCAGAAAACAAAUGAGCAUUUUGAAAAUAAAAAGCCUGGCUUUUAAUCCUAUUAAGAUCAUGGCUGCUUUUUUUUUUUUUUAAUUUCUCUCCCCUGCCCUAAAAACUCCGAAAGAGAUACCGAUGUUCCCAUUAACAUAAAUGCUGAAAUCAGCAUUUCCUUUGAAAGAAGUUGUUAAUAUUUGGAAAUGGUCAGAUUUCCAAUCCAAGCUUUGAUUGUUAUUCUAUACUAGCCAGCAAGUGCCAAGGUCACAGGGAGAUUCACCUGCAGACUGAGCUAAAUGAAUCCACUCGGCCACAAUGCAUGUAUAAUUUAACAGUCUCCUCUUGAGUACUUCCAUGCAUUCCUAAAAAAUAUUUUAUUACAAUAACAAAUUGGUUUCAAAAUCAUGCAUUAUGUAUUCUGAAAUUAGGUCUGCCAGUGAAACCUGGAUGCACAAACAUGCGUACUCCUGGGCAGGGCCGGAAGAGCACACAGAUGCCAGGAUGGAGCUCAAGAACAGUUAAUCCCACAAGGAACCCACUGUCGCUUCUUUAUUAUCUUAAUCUGCAUAUUUGGAAAGUAAAAGAACAAACUGAUCAUUUACUGUAAAGGGCAACCACCCGUUUCCCUUAAUCACCCCCUCCAUGAGAAGGCAGAGGGCGUGAAGUCCUAAAAAUAGGCUGCCGAGGCAGUUUCCCAAGCUUUCCUUAAAAAACAGUUAUUCCUUGAAUAUUAAAAGUCUUCUUUUCCUGUGAUCUGACACUUCCCGGGUAUACAUUUUACAGGAACUGGACUUUAACAAAGCUUCUUUGAAACAUUAAAGAUAAAGAUAUCAAAGCCAUCCUUACAAAUUUGUGUUAAGAAAUACACUUGCUCUGCCGUAAGCUUUCAUCACUGAGUUACCCAAAAAAAGUUAACAUAUUCAGAAAAAUCCUUAGGAUUCCCGACACAAAUGCAACCCCAUAUAAUGUGUCCCUAAUGGGUGCUUGUUUCUGCUUUGCAACUUUCAUCUGAAGUUAAAUACACAUUGAUUUAGCAUUCUUUUACAACAUGGGGAUGGUUUUCUCAUGGCACAAUAAACAUGUUUCUUAAGAUGUCUAUUUGUGAAUAAUUAAGACUAAAAUGCUUUUCUGAUUCCUUCCUAGUUUUUUCUAGUUUAGACCUUUAUAUCACACUUGUAAAAAUUCCAUCUCAUCAAAUGAAUGGCAUUAAUAAAUCCUAAGCAGGCAGGUUUUCCAAAAUGGCGACUUUCAUGAUAUGGAAGGCAUUUGAUCUUAAAAACAUGAGAAAGAAAUUUAGUUGAGUUUUCUCUUUGAAAAGUUUCUUGGGCAUGAGCUUGAUCUUUCUAUAUUAAAAGAAAAAAAUCUAGUUUAUUUCAAUAGGGGAUUGGUUUUCAUUAACUUGCAAGCUAAACAUCAUUGGUAUGUUUCUAUUGGUGUACUGACUUGGUGAAUAAAACAACAAAUUCUUGAGAGAGUCACUUAUAAAUCUCUUUAAAUUAAAAUCAGUCUAAUUUUUAUUAUAAGACUAACAUCAUGAUAGGCUUAGUAUUUUUAAGGCAAUGCCCAGAACUAAAAAGUUUAAUUCCCUGACAAGAGCUUUUAAUAAAGACAAAUCAUAACUAAAAUUAGAUGCUGCAACCUUUUCUUCUCAAAAAAAAAAAAAAAUCUGCAAACACUGUGUUAAGACAUCAUUCCUCCUUAAUUUUGUUUCGAUGGAGUGAUAUGACUAGACAUAUAGCUUUUCUAUAGUUAAAUUAUAAAGAAUAAUUUUCUCUAAUCUAAUCAGUAAUUUCUAAAAAUGGGAAAUGGUAACAGCAUAAUUUUUUAUUUCUUUUGUAUUAUAAUUUAGGCUGACACAUUAAAGCUUUGCUUUUCAGGGGAACAAUUAAGAAAUUGUUGAUAGAAAUUAAACAUUACUGACAAUUGAAAAUGCAUUUUUUUCCUCAUUCGCAGCAUCUAGAUAUACCGCUCCUACCUCCCAUCAAAGAUAAUCUAAGCUCAGAUAGUAUUAAAGUAAAAAUGAACGAAAAAGCUUAGUUCUUUUGUGCUAAACAAAAAGGUGAUUUAUAUAAGUAAUAAGCAAAUUCCAGAGUAUGGAGAUAUAUGUGUAUUUUUAAAUCCUCUAAAAAUGCCUUAAGUUGUAAUCUUCAGGCUAAAUGAUUAAACUCUCUCUGGGUCCUUUGGCUGUAGAACUAUAUCCUUCAUGUUAGCUGUGGGCUAUUUUCGGCUGAAUGCAAACUGCUUUUUUGUUAUUAAAGACAGUUCAUGUUUUACACCACCUUUGGUGUAUGGUAUACAGACCAACACACAUAAUUUAGGUCAGUAUUAAAAUAGAAUUAAUUUUUUUUAAAAAACCUUCAAUAAUAAUUACAAUAAUUACAUUUCCUUCCCACACAUUGCAACAAAUAGUUACAUAGCCUACUUCUUAAAUACUGGUGUGAAAACACUAAGUCGAAAUUCAUGACACAAAUCAAAAUGUGUUGCACAAACUUCUUUUUGGUUGUCGUGAAAGGGGUGUCUCAAAUUGAGUGUAGAAGGGCAUUCCAAUAACCAUAGUACUUUUUUUGGCUGAACUGUAAAUACAUAAUUCAUAUAUUAAUAUGAUAAAAUAUAUAAGAUCACCCAUAUAGUAAAAAUUAAAUCAGUGAAAAGGACUAAAUACAGUUACAAAUAAGCAGCCCAGAAGUUCUAAGGGAAAAUGCCAGAAGUCAAAAUGCUUUCUGAUUCAUCUUAAGCAGAACAGGAGUUUUAACACAAGCCUCUCUUAACAGCUACCCAGGCAGGAUUUGAGGAGAAUAAUUCCCUAAUGCCACUUAAAAAAGAAAAGUCAACCGAAAGCAUCAAAUGGAUUUUGAAUCUAAAUAUUCUUAAAAAAAAAAAAAAAAAACUUUUUCUGAAUUGGCAGCUCAGAGAAUCAAACUGAUAACAUUACAAUAAGGUAGGCAUAGUCAACAUUCUUCGGGUGGUUUGGGGCUGUUUUUUUAAGAGUGUGCUAGGAAUUCCAGUUCUUGAAGAGUCACGGCCUGCAUUCAGCUGUCUUCAGUUCUGUCCCCGGCCUGGCCAUCUGCCAAAGAAUGACACACCUUGAAGGACAAAGUAAGAACAGCUUUCCACACACUUCUCAGACCCAAGCUCCUGGCUUCAGAGCGAAAACUCUUAGGAGCCUUCAACCUGAGCACUUUUUAGCAGGUCAGAAACAGAAAGGCAGGAAGGAGAAGGCAACAUAAAGCUGUCUUGAGCCUCCCCUCUCCGUAGGUCUAAUGUUGCUUGGUCCACAGAACAAUCACAACAAUAAAAUGCAGUGUGUCCUGGGGUCCCCUCUGAAAGAAUAAAACUGGAAGCCUGUCUGUCAUGGUGAAUACCAAACCAGAAGCUCGCACCACGGGAUUCGAUGCCUUGUGCCUGGCUUGUAUUCACAGGCAAGGCAGACAGAUGUGUGGCCUUUGACAAAGCCAAGAGAUGGGCAUUUCAAAAAUAAAAUCAUCUCCCAAUUACAGGGAACCCUUCCUCCCUGGGAUCCCAAAGCACUCUAUCAACCUAAAUUGGAAUCCUGUCUACUGAGCUGCCUUCAAUGCGGCCACUCCAGUAUAAAUUGGAUCAAAUGCUCUCAGAUUAAUUCCUGGAAACCUAUAUUCAUCUUUGUAUAUCUUUAUUACAAAACUAGCCACAAGACCGCUCUACAAUUUUCAUUAUCGGAACAGCUUUCGAAGCUGGAUUAUGCCAUGGUUUAUCCCUCCGUGACCCCAAACCAUCUUGUUAGCUCCAUUAUUGUAUAUUCAUACAACACACCUGAGCCCAAGAUAAUAAGAGAGUUAUAGUGAAUGAGGGGACAGGGUGCGUUUUAUUGCAUUUUAUGCACUGCUAUUCUGCAAUGAUAUUUAACCUGCCGCAGGCGCCCCCAGAAGUCCAUGCCUCACUCCCAUGCUUUCACUCGUGCUCUGACACAGAAGACCCUCACCACCCUCCCCAGUGUGAACCUCACCACCCUCCCCAAUGUGAAGGGAUGGCAAGUUAACCUGAGGAGGACCUGAACUUCUUGGUGAUGGUCAAAUGUCAUUUCUCCUGCGCUGUUCUGGGUUAGAGUAUGCAGGUUCUGCACCAACAGAAACCACAGCACAGAAAACCCCCAGCCCUUCACAGGAAAAGAGCAGGAGUUUUGCCUGCAAAAAAAAAGAGGACGGAACUAGCAUAUGCUUAGAAUAGAAGAUGGG